rnacentral:rRNA from 1 species
CGGCCUGAGAGGGCGACCGGCCACACUGGGACUGAGACACGGCCCAGACUCCUACGGGAGGCAGCAGUGGGGAAUAUUGGGCAAUGGAGGNAACUCUGACCCAGCGACGCCGCGUGCGGGAUGAAGGCCUUCGGGUUGUAAACCGCUUUCAGCAGGGAAGAAGCGAAAGUGACGGUACYUGCAGAAGAAGCACCGGCUAACUAUGUGCCAGCAGCCGCGGUAAUACAUAGGGUGCAAGCGUUGUCCGGAAUUAUUGGGCGUAAAGAGCUCGUAGGUGGUUCGUCACGUCGGAUGUGAAANUCUGGGGCUYAACCCCAGACCUGCAUUCGAUACGGGCGAGCUWGAGUNUGGUAGGGGA